rnacentral:rRNA from 1 species
UUCAUGGAGAGUUUGAUCCUGGCUCAGGACGAACGCUGGCGGCGUGCCUAAUACAUGCAAGUCGAGCGGACCGACGGGAGCUUGCUCCCUUAGGUCAGCGGCGGACGGGUGAGUAACACGUGGGUAACCUGCCUGUAAGACUGGGAUAACUCCGGGAAACCGGGGCUAAUACCGGAUGCUUGAUUGAACCGCAUGGUUCAAUCAUAAAAGGUGGCUUUUAGCUACCACUUACAGAUGGACCCGCGGCGCAUUAGCUAGUUGGUGAGGUAACGGCUCACCAAGGCGACGAUGCGUAGCCGACCUGAGAGGGUGAUCGGCCACACUGGGACUGAGACACGGCCCAGACUCCUACGGGAGGCAGCAGUAGGGAAUCUUCCGCAAUGGACGAAAGUCUGACGGAGCAACGCCGCGUGAGUGAUGAAGGUUUUCGGAUCGUAAAACUCUGUUGUUAGGGAAGAACAAGUACCGUUCGAAUAGGGCGGUACCU